UAGGGAAUAUUGGGCAAUGGGCGAAAGCCUGACCCAGCAACGCCGCGUGCACGAUGAAGGCCUUCGGGUUGUAAAGUGCUUUUCGGGGUGACGAGAACGGACGGUAACCCCGGAAGAAGGAUCGGCUAACUACGUGCCAGCAGCCGCGGUAAAACGUAGGAUCCGAGCGUUAUCCGAAUUCACUGGGCGUAAAGCGCGUGCAGGCGGCCCGUUAAGUUGGAUAUGAAAUCUCCUGGCUCAACUGGGAGAGGCUGUUCAAAACUGGCGGGCUCGAGGACGGUAGAGGGAGGUGGAAUUCCAGGUGUAGUGGUGAAAUGCGUAGAUAUCUGGAGGAACACCAGUGGCGAAAGCGGCCUCCUAGGCCGGUCCUGACGCUCAGACGCGAAAGCUAGGGGAGCAAACGGG
rnacentral:rRNA from 1 species